GUACUCCUCGAUUCCGGUUGAUCCUGCCGGACCCGACCGCUAUCGGGGUGAGACUAAGCCAUGCGAGUCGUGCGUCCCCGGGCAUGCGGGGGCGCGGCGCACGGCUCAGUAACACGUAGCUAACCUGCCCUGAGGAGGGGAACAACCCCGGGAAACUGGGGCUAAUUCCCCAUAGGCCUGGGCACCUGGAAUGGGCUCAGGCUGAAAUGGAUCGGCGCGCAUCCUGCGCCGAUCCGCCUCAGGAUGGGGCUGCGGCCCAUCAGGUAGUUGGUGGGGUAAAGGCCCACCAAGCCGAUAACGGGUACGGGCUCUGGAAGGAGGAGCCCGGAGAUGGGCACUGAGACAAGGGCCCAGGCCCUACGGGGCGCAGCAGGCGCGAAACCUCCGCAAUGGGGGAAACCCUGACGGGGUUACCCCGAGUGUCGCCCGCUGAGGGCGACUUUUCCGGGGUCUAAAAAGCCCCGGGAAUAAGGGGAGGGCAAGUCUGGUGUCAGCCGCCGCGGUAAUACCAGCUCCCCGAGUGGUCGGGACGUUUAUUGGGCCUAAAGCGCCCGUAGCCGGCUCGGUAAGUCCCCCGUCAAAUCCGUCGGCUCAACCGACGGGCCGCGGGGGAUACUGCCGAGCUAGGGGGCGGGAGAGGUCGGGGGUACUCCCGGGGUAGGGGUAAAAUCCUCUGAUCCCGGGAAGACCACCGGUGGCGAAGGCGCCCGGCCAGAACGCGCCCGACGGUGAGGGGCGAAAGCUGGGGGAGCGAACCGGAUUAGAUACCCGGGUAGUCCCAGCUGUAAACGAUGCGGGCUAGGUGCUGGAGGGGCUACGGGCUCCUCCAGUGCCGCAGGGAAGCCGUUAAGCCCGCCGCCUGGGGAGUACGGCCGCAAGGCUGAAACUUAAAGGAAUUGGCGGGGGGGCACACAAGGGGUGAAGCCUGCGGUUCAAUUGGAGUCAACGCCCGGAACCUUACCAGGGGUGACAGCAGGAUGAAGGUCAGGCUAAAGACCUUACCUGACGCGCUGAGAGGAGGUGCAUGGCCGUCGCCGGCUCGUGCCGUGAGGUGUCCUGUUAAGUCAGGAAACGAGCGAGACCCUCGCCGCCAGUUGCUAUUCCGUCCCCUCAAGGGACGGAAGGCUAACUGGCGGGACUGCCGCCGAAAAGGCGGAGGAAGGAGAGGGCUACGGCAGGUCAGUAUGCCCCGAAACCCCUGGGCCACACGCGGGCUGCAAUGGUGGGGACAAUGGGAGCCGAACCCGAAAGGGGGAGGUAAUCCCCAAACCCCACCCCAGUUAUGAUUGAGGGCUGCAACUCGCCCUCAUGAAUCUGGAAUCCCUAGUAACCGCGCGUCACCAUCGCGCGGUGAAUACGUCCCUGCCUCUUGCACACACCGCCCGUCGCUCCACCCGAGUCCGUCUCCAGUGAGGUGGCGUCGCGUUGGCGCCAUCGAACUGGAGGCGGGCGAGGGGGGAGAAGUCGUAACAAGGUGGCCGUACCGGAAGGUGCGGCCGGAUCACCUCCUA
rnacentral:rRNA from 1 species